GUUAAUGUUUCAUUAGCUUGGGUCUGAGUUCAAUACAAAGAAGAUUAGCAUGGCCCCUGUGCAAGGAUGCCACGCAAAUUCAUGAAGUGUUCCAUAUCUUU
rnacentral:snRNA from 1 species